AUAUAUAUAUAUAUAUAUAUACACAUAUAUACAGCUGAAACGUCACUAUCGCCUGCUGCUGCUCGCACAGUCUCAUGAGCGGGAAGGCCAAAGUUACGCUGCAGUGCAGACAGGCGAACAUCAGCAGGGUGAGAAUGCCAAGAGCACGCACAGACUGCCCGCACUUUGUGCAGCAGCUCGGAUAUAUUUGGGUAUACACCGUGGCAUCACAAGGGCCACCCAGAACUGGCUCAACUCCCAUCACCCAGCUCGGUUUCAAUGUGCUCCCCAACAAGAAGGCGACGACGCAUUCGUAUGUCAAUCCAUAUCAACUUUCAAUGCCAUUGACUGCGCCUACCAUGGUGACCACGGGUAACUGGGAAUCAGGGUUCCAUUCCGUACAGGGACCCUGAAAAAUGGCUACCACAUGCAAGGAAGGCA